AACGAACGCUGGCGGCAUGCCUAACACAUGCAAGUCGAACGAGACCACCGGGUCUGGUGGCGCUCGGGUGCGUCACGCGGCGGAACCUGCCCUUAGGUAUGGAAUACCUCUCCGUAAGGGGUGCUAAUGCAGGUUAAUUUCCUCGAACCAAAGAUUUAUCUUCAUUGGAAGAGCACGCGUUCGUUUAACCUGGUGGUAGGGUAUAAGCCUACCAAGGCGACGAUCCAUAGCUGGGCUGAGAGGAAGAUCAGCGACACUGAGGCUGAGAACCGGCGCAGACUCCUACAGAAGGCAGGAGAGCGGAAUAUUGGACAACGGGCUGAGGCCUGAACCCGCAAUGCUGGGUGAGUGAUUAAGGCCGUAAAGUAGUAAAGCACGUUUACACGGGAUGAUAAUGACGGUACCGGGAGAAUAAGCUCCGGCUAACUUCGUG
rnacentral:rRNA from 1 species